UACGUAGGUGGCAAGCGUUGUCGGAAUUACUGGGCGUAAAGCGCGCGCAGGCGGUUUCUUAAGUCUGAUGUGAAAUCUUGCGGCUCAACCGCAAGCGGUCAUUGGAAACUGGGAGGCUUGAGUGCAGAAGAGGAGAGUGGAAUUCCACGUGUAGCGGUGAAAUGCGUAGAGAUCGGCAGGAACACCCAGGGGGAAACCAGCCGACUGGGCAAGUGCUGACGCUGAGGUGCGAGAGCGUGGGGAGCGAACCGG
rnacentral:rRNA from 1 species